AUUGAACGCUGGCGGCAGGCCUAACACAUGCAAGUCGAACGGAGUGGCGGACGGGUGAGUAAUGUCUGGGAAACUGCCUGAUGGCGGGGGAUAACUACUGGAAACGGGCGCUAAUACCGCAUACUAUAAGAUGAGCCUCGGUCGGCUUAGCUAGUUGGUGGGGUAAAGGGCUACAACGGCGACGAUCCGUAACUGGUCUGAGAGGAUGAGCAGGAACACUGUAACUGGGACACGGUCCAGACUCCCCCGGGAUGCAGCAGGGGGGAAUAUUGGACAAUGGGCGAAAGACUGAGCCAGCCAUGCCGCGUGUGUGAAGAAGGACUUCGGAUUGUAAAGUACUGUAAGUUGGGAGGCGUUACCAACAGAAGAAGCACCGGCUAACUUCGGGCAAGCAGCCGCUGUAAGUC
rnacentral:rRNA from 1 species